GGCUGCUCUGAAGGUAGUGAGUUAUCUGAAUUGAUUGGUCACAAUCAGUUACAGGUUAAACUUGUUCUACUCUUUCCUCCCUUCUCACUACUGUACUUGACUAGUCUUUA
rnacentral:Y_RNA from 1 species